rnacentral:rRNA from 1 species
GAUGAACGCUAGCUACAGGCUUAACACAUGCAAGUCGAGGGGUAACGAGAGGAAAGCUUGCUUUCCUUGUCGACGACCGGCGCACGGGUGAGUAACGCGUAUCCAACCUGCCCCCAACUAGGGAAUAACCUUGCGAAAGUAAGACUAAUACCCUAUAAUUUCCUCAGAUGUCAUCUGACGAGGAAUAAAGAUUUAUCGGUUGUGGAUGGGGAUGCGUCUGAUUAGCUUGUUGGCGGGGUAACGGCCCACCAAGGCAACGAUCAGUAGGGGUUCUGAGAGGAAGGUUCCCCACAUUGGAACUGAGACACGGUCCAAACUCCUACGGGAGGCAGCAGUGAGGAAUAUUGGUCAAUGGGCGGAAGCCUGAACCAGCCAAGUAGCGUGCAGGAUGACGGCCCUAUGGGUUGUAAACUGCUUUUAUACAGGAAUAAAGUUAGCCACGUGUGGUUAUUUGUUGGUACUGUAUGAAUAAGGACCGGCUAAUUCCGUGCCAGCCGCCGCGGUAA